GAAAAUGUUGGAAACUCGAGGGGGGAGUGCGCAAUGGUUUCCAGUGGAGAAGGCUCUGAGGAUGAUGAUGAGUCAGGCGACAAUGAGGAUGAGGGAGCCGGUGAGGAGACCGGAGGUGAUAAGAGUAGAGACAGCAAUGGAGAGGCCUCGAACGAGGGGGACGGUGAGGAUGACCACACUCGUACACCGCAGACUGGGACAUAUUCCUCUCUCCCCAUACACAGACGUACUUCUCCCAUUCAUG
rnacentral:lncRNA from 1 species